GACUCCACAGAACCACUGCUCCCAUGGGAGUGAGUCAGUCCUGUGUCACAGGUUGCAUACCCUUCUGUCUCAGGCACUUGAUAUUCAGAAGUUAAUUUGGGGGAUCUCAUUAGUCUGCACAGAUCUAUAAGAUUUGGAGGCACUUACAUGCAAGCAAUGGCUUUUCAGGAGCCCUGGAAAAAUCUGCCUGCUUCCCAGCAACACGCAAUUGCUGGCUGCUGCUGUGAACCUUAGAGGAAGAUUAAAGGGUGCAUAUACAUGCAUAGAGCCAACUCCUGAAGUCAUGGUUGAUGUGAUUUUCACAGGCUAUGAAUUCCAUGAUCCAUUGUAUCAAUAGGCAAAUCUGUCCAGAGCAGAAAAGAACAUUUUAUGAAGCAGAGCUCUGUAGGAUCAACAGGAAUAAAAUACCAAGCCAGCUUCGGCUUCCUGUGGUGAAGAAAAAGAGGAAAGGAAGGAGGAAGAGGAGCAGCAUGGGAAGAAAGAAGAGGAAGAGAAAGAGACUGUGACUGCAUUUUCUUCUGUUUAAUGAAAGGGGGAGAGUUACCAGACCUGCCCAUGAUGAGCAGUUCCAAUUUUCUGUUUCCUGUACUAGCUCCCUCCAGUGGCUCAGGGUAUCUGUUGACCUCAACGGAACAGU